AAGGAUUUAAGUUAAGCAAACUUUUAACCUUCAAAGUUGACAAUAGGAAUUAUUCUAAGCCUUA
rnacentral:tRNA from 1 species